AGGGGCGUCGCCAAGCGGUAAGGCACCAGAUUUUGAUUCUGGCAUACACAGGUUCGAUCCCUGUCGCCCCUGCCA
rnacentral:tRNA from 1 species